AUACGUAGGGGGCGAGCGUUAUCCGGAUUUACUGGGUGUAAAGGGAGCGUAGGUGGCGAAGCAAGUCAGAUGUGAAAGCCCGGGGCUUAACUCCGGGACUGCAUUUGAAACUGUUUUGCUAGAGUGCAGGAGAGGUAAGUGGAAUUCCUAGUGUAGCGGUGAAAUGCGUAGAUAUUAGGAGGAACACCAGUGGCGAAGGCGGCUUACUGGACUGUAACUGACACUGAGGCUCGAAAGCGUGGGGAGCAAACAGGAUUAGAUACCCUGGUAGUCCACGCUGUAAACGAUGAAUACUAGGUGUUGGGGAGCGAAAGCUCUUCGGUGCCGUCGCAAACGCAUUAAGUAUUCCACCUGGGGAGUACGUUCGCAAGAAUGAA
rnacentral:rRNA from 1 species